rnacentral:rRNA from 1 species
AUCCCUGAUAGACUAUCAGGUUGAUAGGUCGGAGGUGUAAGGAUAGUAAUAUCUUUAGCUGACCGAUACUAAUAGAUCGAGGACUUAAUCUAG